GAUGAAGAACGCAGUGAAAUGCGAUAAGUAAUGUGAAUUGCAGAAUUCAGUGAAUCAUCGAAUCUUUGAACGCACAUUGCGCCCGCCAGUAUUCUGGCGGGCAUGCCUGUUCGAGCGUCAUUUUGACCAUCAAGCUCUGCUUGUGUUGGGGUCCUGCGGCUGCCCGCAGGCCCUGAAACCCAGUGGCGGGCUCGCUAGUCACACCGAGCGCAGUAGCACAUCUCGCUCAGGGCGUGCGGCGGGUUCUUGCCGUAAAACAACCCCCCCUUUUCACCAAGGUUGACCUCGGAUCAGGUAGGAAUACCCGCUGAACUUAAGCAUAUCAAUAAGCGGAGGA
rnacentral:misc_RNA from 1 species